AUGUGGAGGUGCUGGCACGUGAGAAACGAAAUCACGCACCACAAGCUGGCUCCCCCAAUUGAAGUAUCCAAGAGAUUUUUAUCAAGCUACAUCGACACUAUCUUGUGCCUCCAGCAACAUCCCAAUGUCGGCAUGUCAAAGGGCAAGAUGGUAGUCUCCAAGUUUCAGCAACGCCAGGAGAAGCUCAGACCAGCAAGGGCAGCCUGUACCAGACCUCCAGAGCGAUGGCACAGGCCUCCACCAGGCUGGACUAAGUUAAACGUUGAUGGUGCAUAUAUUCAGGCGGAUGGAACAGGUGGCUCGGGCAUGAUCUUGCGCGACGAACAUGGCACCGUCAUUUUUGCUUCUUGCAGUUUCUUGAGGACGUGUUCAAGUGCACUGGAGGCGGAGAUCGAAGCUAUACGUGAAGGGAUUGCAUUGACCCUGGAGUGGUGUACGCUACCUUUCAUACUUGAAGAAAAAAAAAUCAGAUAUGAUAAGAUCCCCAGCGGCGACGACAGUGGGUGUAAUAAAGAACUUGUUACUGGAAGGAGCCAUGUUCUUGGGCAGAUGGGUCACGCUGACCCUAGGACUGCCUUAUGGCUCAGGCAGGGGCCUGACGAGAUAGCUGAACUCGUGGCAAAGGACUGUAUUGUUCCUAGUUGA
rnacentral:rRNA from 1 species